GUUGAUCGUGAAACCUUUCGUGGCUUAUUGGGAGAGUGUUCCAUUGUAACAUAUUUCUAUUAUCGGUUUGUUUUCAGCCAAGUGUGGCCGUGUUUUAUGUAGUGGGACUGGCCACGUGUGGCUUUGAAUCCCUGCCGUUUACCGGUCUUUGUAUAAUUCGUGCUUUAAAAACGGUUUCAGGAAUGUUUGAUUUUUUGUUAAGUGUAGGGAGAAGGAUUCGAGUAGUCAACUCGCUCAUUUCCCUUUUGUGAGUCGUCAUUUUCGUUGCUCGUCUGAGCUGUUUGAGAAGUUCUCAAAGUUCCUUCAGCGUUUAGAUGCGGACGAAGAGACAUGCUUUCAGGAUCUCGUAUCUUUUGGAUAUCAUGUCUUGAGACGUUAGAGUGUGUUGGAUUUGUGAGGCGGCAUUAGCCAACAUCUCUUUCGCUUCCUCUAAACUUGGCUCUCCCCAUCGUGAUCUGGAAAGCAUGUAGAUGUUCCCUUGGAUCGGUUGUAUCGUCA
rnacentral:lncRNA from 1 species